rnacentral:rRNA from 1 species
CCUAAUACAUGCAAGUCGAGCGAACAGACGAGGAGCUUGCUCCUCUGACGUUAGCGGCGGACGGGUGAGUAACACGUGGAUAACCUACCUAUAAGACUGGGAUAACUUCGGGAAACCGGAGCUAAUACCGGAUAAUAUAUUGAACCGCAUGGUUCAAUAGUGAAAGACGGUUUUGCUGUCACUUAUAGAUGGAUCCGCGCCGCAUUAGCUAGUUGGUAAGGUAACGGCUUACCAAGGCAACGAUGCGUAGCCGACCUGAGAGGGUGAUCGGCCACACUGGAACUGAGACACGGUCCAGACUCCUACGGGAGGCAGCAGUAGGGAAUCUUCCGCAAUGGGCGAAAGCCUGACGGAGCAACGCCGCGUGAGUGAUGAAGGUCUUCGGAUCGUAAAACUCUGUUAUUAGGGAAGAACAAAUGUGUAAGUAACUAUGCACGUCUUGACGGUACCUAAUCAGAAAGCCACGGCUAACUACGUGCCAGCAGCCGCGGUAAUACGUAGGUGGCAAGCGUUAUCCGGAAUUAUUGGGCGUAAAGCGCGCGUAGGCGGUUUUUUAAGUCUGAUGUGAAAGCCCACGGCUCAACCGUGGAGGGUCAUUGGAAACUGGAAAACUUGAGUGCAGAAGAGGAAAGUGGAAUUCCAUGUGUAGCGGUGAAAUGCGCAGAGAUAUGGAGGAACACCAGUGGCGAAGGCGACUUUCUGGUCUGUAACUGACGCUGAUGUGCGAAAGCGUGGGGAUC